rnacentral:rRNA from 1 species
AUACAAGGGGUGCAAGCGUUAAUCGGAAUUACUGGGCGUAAAGCGUUCGUAGGCGGUUUGUUAAGCAAGAUGUGAAAGCCCUGGGCUCAACCUGGGAACUGCAUUUUGAACUGGCAAGCUAGAAUACUGUAGAGGGUGGUGGAAUUUCCAGUGUAGCGGUGAAAUGCGUAGAGAUUCGAAGGAACAUCAGUGGCGAAGGCGGCCACCUGGACAGAUAUUGACGCUGAGGAACGAAAGCGUGGGGAGCGAACAGGAUUAGAAACCCCGGUAGUCC